rnacentral:rRNA from 1 species
CCUACGGGAGGCAGCAGUAGGGAAUAUUGCUCAAUGGGGGAAACCCUGAAGCAGCAACGCCGCGUGGAGGAUGAAGGUUUUCGGAUUGUAAACUCCUUUUGUUAGAGAAGAUAAUGACGGUAUCUAACGAAUAAGCACCGGCUAACUCCGUGCCAGCAGCCGCGGUAAUACGGAGGGUGCAAGCGUUACUCGGAAUCACUGGGCGUAAAGGGCGCGUAGGCGGGAUAGCAAGUCAGAUGUGAAUUCCUAUGGCUUAACCAUAGAACUGCAUUUGAAACUGUUAUUCUAGAGUAUGGGAGAGGUAGGUGGAAUUCUUGGUGUAGGGGUAAAAUCCGUAGAGAUCAAGAGGAAUACUCAUUGCGAAGGCGACCUGCUAGAACAUAACUGACGCUGAUGCGCGAAAGCGUGGGGAGCAAACAGGAGUAGAUACCCUAGUAGUC